rnacentral:rRNA from 1 species
GAUGAACGCUGGCGGCGUGCCUAAUACAUGCAAGUCGAGCGAACGGACGAGAAGCUUGCUUCUCUGAUGUUAGCGGCGGACGGGUGAGUAACACGUGGAUAACCUACCUAUAAGACUGGGAUAACUUCGGGAAACCGGAGCUAAUACCGGAUAAUAUUUUGAACCGCAUGGUUCAAAAGUGAAAGACGGUCUUGCUGUCACUUAUAGAUGGAUCCGCGCUGCAUUAGCUAGUUGGUAAGGUAACGGCUUACCAAGGCAACGAUGCAUAGCCGACCUGAGAGGGUGAUCGGCCACACUGGAACUGAGACACGGUCCAGACUCCUACGGGAGGCAGCAGUAGGGAAUCUUCCGCAAUGGGCGAAAGCCUGACGGAGCAACGCCGCGUGAGUGAUGAAGGUCUUCGGAUCGUAAAACUCUGUUAUUAGGGAAGAACAUAUGUGUAAGUAACUGUGCACAUCUUGACGGUACCUAAUCAGAAAGCCACGGCUAACUACGUGCCAGCAGCCGCGGUAAUACGUAGGUGGCAAGCGUUAUCCGGAAUUAUUGGGCGUAAAGCGCGCGUAGGCGGUUUUUUAAGUCUGAUGUGAAAGCCCACGGCUCAACCGUGGAGGGUCAUUGGAAACUGGAAAACUUGAGUGCAGAAGAGGAAAGUGGAAUUCCAUGUGUAGCGGUGAAAUGCGCAGAGAUAUGGAGGAACACCAGUGGCGAAGGCGACUUUCUGGUCUGUAACUGACGCUGAUGUGCGAAAGCGUGGGGACCAAACAGGAUUAGAUACCCUGGUAGUCCACGCCGUAAACGAUGAGUGCUAAGUGUUAGGGGGUUUCCGCCCCUUAGUGCUGCAGCUAACGCAUUAAGCACUCCGCCUGGGGAGUACGACCGCAAGGUUGAAACUCAAAGGAAUUGACGGGGACCCACACAAGCGGUGGAGCAUGUGGUUUAAUUCGAAGCAACGCGAAGAACCUUACCAAAUCUUGACAUCCUUUGACAACUCUAGAGAUAGAGCUUUCCCCUUCGGGGGACAAAGUGACAGGUGGUGCAUGGUUGUCGUCAGCUCGUGUCGUGAGAUGUUGGGUUGAGUCCCGCAACGAGCGCAACCCUUAAGCUUAGUUGCCAUCAUUAAGUUGGGCACUCUAAGUUGACUGCCGGUGACAAACCGGAGGAAGGUGGGGAUGACGUCAAAUCAUCAUGCCCCUUAUGAUUUGGGCUACACACGUGCUACAAUGGACAAUACAAAGGGCAGCGAAACCGCGAGGUCAAGCAAAUCCCAUAAAGUUGUUCUCAGUUCGGAUUGUAGUCUGCAACUCGACUACAUGAAGCUGGAAUCGCUAGUAAUCGUAGAUCAGCAUGCUACGGUGAAUACGUUCCCGGGUCU